rnacentral:rRNA from 1 species
UACGGAGGGUGCAAGCGUUAAUCGGAAUUACUGGGCGUAAAGCGCACGCAGGCGGUUGGAUAAGUUAGAUGUGAAAGCCCCGGGCUCAACCUGGGAAUUGCAUUUAAAACUGUCCGGCUAGAGUCUUGUAGAGGGGGGUAGAAUUCCAGGUGUAGCGGUGCAAUGAGUAGAGAUCUGGAGGGAUACCGGUGGCGAAGGCGGCCCCCUGGACAAAGACUGUCGCUCAGGUGCGAAAGCGUGGGGAGCAAACAGG